rnacentral:lncRNA from 1 species
GGCCCACCAAAUUCGUAGAGGGUCAACACAAGCGAGUUCCCAGUUGACUCCCGGACGUUCCUUCACUCCCCUUCGGCCUUCCCCACACCCCGCACUUCGCCUCCCCUGCCCUCCGCGACAGCGCUCCCCUCGCCCCCCUCCGCCGAAGCUCGCCACCCCAGAGGAAUUUCUCCCCGUCAGCCCCGUCGCCGGCUUCUUCUCCCCCGUCGCACUGGACCGGCGGGAAGUCGGUACCCAUCCGGGCUCGAUUCGGUAGGUUUGCUGGUGACGAACCCUAACUGGCUCGCGUUCUGCUCGCGGUAAUCCGAGUAUUCAUUUCUCUCCAACGCGUUCAGUUUCUUGCGGGCUCCCGUGGCGGCUGACGUUCAAGAGGUUCUGCGGCGUUCGGNNNNN